rnacentral:rRNA from 2 species
GCUUGCUCCCUGAGAUCAGCGGCGGACGGGUGAGUAACACGUGGGUAACCUGCCUGUAAGACUGGGAUAACUCCGGGAAACCGGGGCUAAUACCGGAUAACACCUACCCCCGCAUGGGGGAAGGUUGAAAGGUGGCUUCGGCUAUCACUUACAGAUGGACCCGCGGCGCAUUAGCUAGUUGGUGAGGUAAUGGCUCACCAAGGCGACGAUGCGUAGCCGACCUGAGAGGGUGAUCGGCCACACUGGGACUGAGACACGGCCCAGACUCCUACGGGAGGCAGCAGUAGGGAAUCUUCCGCAAUGGACGAAAGUCUGACGGAGCAACGCCGCGUGAGUGAAGAAGGUUUUCGGAUCGUAAAACUCUGUUGUUAGGGAAGAACAAGUGCCGUUCGAAUAGGGCGGCGCCUUGACGGUACCUAACCAGAAAGCCACGGCUAACUACGUGCCAGCAGCCGCGGUAAUACGUAGGUGGCAAGCGUUGUCCGGAAUUAUUGGGCGUAAAGCGCGCGCAGGUGGUUUCUUAAGUCUGAUGUGAAAGCCCACGGCUCAACCGUGGAGGGUCAUUGGAAACUGGGGAACUUGAGUGCAGAAGAGGAAAGU